rnacentral:lncRNA from 1 species
AACGAGCAAGGAGAAGUUAAAUGUAAGAGGGGAGAGCUCCUUAGGCGGCUGAACCCUAUGGGCCAACCCUUAGGGGGGCCAAUCCCUAGGGGGACCAACCUAAUGGCCUUCUUCUUUACAUUUUUUCGUUCUUCCUCUACCCUAUUUUUUAUUUGAAUGGAUCCUAAUGCUUGUGCUCUUUAGAUUCCUUAUGCUGAAUUCUUUUUUCUUGCAGGCCUUCCCCGUUGAACAUUCUGCAGACUUGGGAACAACCAAGGAGGCCCCGUUUCUCAAUGAUUGAGGAAGGGCUCCCCUUUUUUGGUCUUUCCAAGGUCUUUUGGGAGCAAGUCCAGACUUAUGAACGUACAACUCUUCCUCUGCCAGAGAAGAAAGGCUUGUUUCUAUAUGCAUCGACUUGUGGAGGUUGAGAUGACUUCUCCCAUUCCUAUCGCAUUCCCCGCAUAUGCAUAGAGAAGCAAGAGUACCCUUUCAAUCCCCUUCGCUUCUUGUCUAAUUCAUCUGGUC